UUUUUUUUUGUGGGAUUCGGAGGAGCACCUCUUCUCCAGACUACUCAAUGAUAAAGUAAAUAUAUCCAGACCGAGUCUUUUCAACCCGUCAUCCACAAUCUGCCCAGAGCAAACGAGGACUGCAGCAAUUCUUGGGGAGUCUGGAGCUGACCUACACACCGAAUUCGCGCCCCUCCUGCUGGAGAAGAUUGCAACAUUUAUGACCAGUCCCUGCCUCCCAUCCAAAAGCUUAUCGGACUGUCCGCAACCAAUAGUAUGCAAAGCUCGCUACAAGUGUAAGGUGGAUGUUAAAGAUCUCAUGGCAUUAUCUCAAUGAAGGACAGAAGACUUCUCUCUCUAGUGUCCGGCCAAUAUUCAUCACUCAUUCAGCAUCAGUGAACAGAUUAACUGGCCUGGGACUCAACAUCUCCCUUUGCAACUGGAUCCUUGACUUCCUAACCAACAGACCGCAAUCAGUCAGGAGAGGCAGCAACCCCUCCGCCAUGAUUCUCCUCAACACUGGUGCUCUACCAGGCUGCGUCCUCACGACUGCAUGGCCAGAUUCUGCUCCAACUGCAUCUACAAGUUUGCAGAUGACACCACCGUUGUGGGCCAUCUCUCAAAUACCAAUGAGUUGGAGUACAAGAAGAAAAGAGAGAGCCUAGUGACAUUGUGUCAUGACAACCUUUCCUUCAAAGUCAGCAAAACAAAAGAGCUGGUCAUUGAUUUCAGGAAGGAGGGGAGUUGCACAUGCUCCUGCUUACAUCAAUGGUGCUGAGGUUGAGAAGUAUUUGAGCUCAAACUUCCAAGGAGUGAACAUCACCAAUAGCCUUUCAUGGUCCAACCAUGUAGAUGCCAUAAUAAGAAAGCUCAGCAGCAGCUCUAGGAGGCUAAAGAAAUUUUGCAUCUCCCCUAUGACACUCACCAAUUUUUAAUCAAUGCACCAUAGAAAGCAUUCUAUCUGGAUGAAUCAUGGCUUGGUAUGGCAACUGCUCUGCCAUGACUGCAAGAAACUGAACAGAGUUGUGGACACAGCUCAGCACAUCAUGGAAACCAGCCUCCCCUCCAUGGACUCUGGCUGCACUUCUUGCUGCCUCAGUAAAGCACCCAGCGUAAUCAAAGACCCCACCCACCCCAGACACACUCUUCUCCCCCCUCCCAUCAGGCAGAAACAAAAGCCUGAAAGCACGUACCACCAGGCUCAAGAACAGCUUCUAUCCUACUGUUAUGGACUAUUGAAUGGUUCCCUCAUAUGAUAAGAUGGACCCUUGACCUCAAUCUACCAUGUUAUGACUUUGCACCUUACUGUCUACCUGCA